GGAAAGAGAGAAAGGAGCUGUGUGUAUACAUUCCUCCACUGCAGACGGAGGAAGUUGCAUUGUUUAGGGAAUGCGCUCUACAGCAUGGCAGGGGCAGAAAAACAGCAAUUUACUCACCGUAUAAAGGCCACCCAAAUCUGACAGAAAAAUAACCAGCAUACCAGUUCUGUGACAACUCGAACAAACCGCCUACUUAUCAAACUCAAAUGUCUCCCAAAAAACAUGUUUCAAAACAAGGCGCCCAGCCUACCAGCCUGCAGCAGCUUCAGACAUUACUGCUGAGGGCUGAAGUCAAUAUCCAACCAGGUCAAAUGGAAAAUUGACGAGCCCGCAUAUGUUCCAGCCCGGCUUCGAGACCGAGAUAAAAACCAGGAGACAAAUGAGCUGGUGUGGCUCACACUUUGAUUUGAGGGAAACGUGUUUAUCCUUGAAAAAGAAAAUCAGCAAACUACCAAAAAAGGGCGGGACGGCUGAGAGGAGCGCUCUCUCACCACUCUCACCAGUGGCUAAUUAACAAUGUGGCCCCAGUUAAAGUCUGCUGUCUCCCGGGCUCCCGUGUCGGAUUAUUGUCUCCCAUCGACGCAACGCGCAUGCCAGCGUGUUUGCUCAGCCUGCGCUCUGUACCCUGCCCAGCCUUCCACCGAACCUGCCAGCAGCCCACCCCCGGGCCUCUCCUCA
ensembl:lncRNA